rnacentral:rRNA from 1 species
UACGGGGGGGGCAAGCGUUGUUCGGAAUUACUGGGCGUAAAGGGCUCGUAGGCGGCCAACUAAGUCCGACGUGAAAUCCCAAGGCUUAACCUUGGAACUGCGUCGGAUACUGGUUGGCUUGAAUUCGGGAGAGGGAUGCAGAAUUCCAGGUGUAGCGGUGAAAUGCGUAGAUAUCUGGAGGAAUACCGGUUGCGAAGGCGGCAUCCUGGACCGACAUUGACGCUGAUGAGCGAAAGCUAGGGGAGCAAACGGG